ACACUGAGCGAUGACCGUGAUAGCAGCUAAAGCUGGAGCAGCGAGAGUCUGGACUCAUUUAGAAGCAUACCAGUGCUGCUGAUAACCUAUGAACAACCAGAAAUGUUCUUUCUUCCCAGUGGCUAAGGAGACUGCUUCUGUACUGUUUUCACUUCAGGAUUUAACUGAACAAACAUCACAGUUUGAUCUUGACGAGAAGAAUGAGGCAAACAAGAGACACAACCACAAAGAAGGCCAGGAAAAUUCCCAUAUCAAAGUACUCGGUUCCCAACACCUACAUUGCUUCCUGCCUGACAUUGCUUCAUACCUGAUCAAUGGCAUCUGGGUUUUCAGAAACAUCAAAGAUGAC